GUCGACGACAUGUACAUCCUGUCCUCCCCGUGCUUCUGCUUGCCCGGGACGCAACUCUUUGGUGUGCUCGAGAAGAUGUGCAAGAAGAAAAGGGCCACUGGAUUGUACAGGAGGAACGGGAUGCUGUUCUCUGCUACUCGACCUAGCCUUGCUGCUCGACCACACUCGACCUAGCCUUGCUGCUUGACCACAUUGCCCCUGAAAACAUGGUAAGGGCAAGGAUGGAUUUAUGCAAAUUCACGUCGUUGAUGCGGGAUCGCGCCGGCCCUCCCUUGUGCUAGCCAGCCAUCAGGAAGCUCCUGGUGGUGCUCCUGGAUGUGCUAUGCAUCACCUCAUCCUCGUGCUCAUCGGUGGGACGGUGCAAGGCGCAACUCCAAUGCAGCGGCGUGGAUGUGCGGUGUAGGAAGCGGUUCCUCGCCGGCCGGAUGGCGUUCAGGCGCAACCCCGGCGCCCACUGAGUACUGCCUCGGCUACAACCUCCCUCGGUGAGCUCCAUCUUCCUCCUGCUCUGCUUCGGCUACUGCAUGGGACAUGGCCAGGGCUACGAUGAUCAGUUAUGGCUGGUAUAGGCAUGCUCUCGAGCAAUUGAGGCAUUUCUGGGUAUUAAUUUGGAUCCCCCCUCAUUUCUUUGAGCCAUUUUGAUCACGUUCUUAUUUUAGUGGCUCUGUCCUUGGAUGGUCAUUUCUGAUGAGUGAUAACCAGGGCAGUUUCACCGUCGUAAGAACAUAUUGAUCUGGUGAUCCAUCGAGAAAGAAGAAACGAAAUACCUCACCUGGCUCCUCAGAGCUCAGACACUUUCGGCCGUCGGAUCGGUUUCCUGAUGCGAUUCUGGCUGCCGGAUCUCGCUCCGGAUUGAUCUCGGCCGUAAGAUCGAGCCCGAGCUCCUGUAGCCAUGAAUAGUUACUCCUACGGUGAGAUAUCUCGUGCCACCACGUUUGAAUCAUGUGCCCCAUUGGUCGGAAGCCAUUCUUGCUAGGGCGAUGAUGAUUAGCCGUGGCUGAAAUAAGUGUGCCUUUGAGCAAUCGAGGCACCUAUGGGUAUCAAGUUGGAUCCUCCUCCUUGUCUCUAGAAUCCUUUUUGAUCCUUUGAUACUUAUUGUUCUGUCCUUGGAUGGUCAUUCUUGUUGAAUGAUAACCAGGGCAGCUCCAUUGUAUAAACAGAUUAAUAUGGUGAAAGAGAUGAUGGGGGUAGAUUAUAUGAUUGAGGAAAGGCGAAU